rnacentral:rRNA from 1 species
UACGUAGGGGGCAAGCGUUGUCCGGAUUUACUGGGUGUAAAGGGUGCGUAGGCGGCCUUGCAAGUCAGAAGUGAGAUCCAUGGGCUUAACCCGUGAACUGCUUUUGAAACUGUAGGGCUUGAGUGAAGUAGAGGCAGGCGGAAUUCCCGGUGUAGCGGUGAAAUGCGUAGAGAUCGGGAGGAACACCAGUGGCGAAGGCGGCCUGCUGGGCUUUAACUGACGCUGAAGCACGAAAGCGUGGGUAGCAAACAGG